AUAAUACUCCCUCCGUCCGAAAAUACUUGUCAUCAAAAUGGACAAAAAUGGAUGUAUCUAGAACUAAAAUACAUCUAGAUACAUUCUCUUUUAUUCAUUUUGAUGACAAGUAUUUCCGGACAGAGGGAGUACUAC
rnacentral:pre_miRNA from 1 species